rnacentral:lncRNA from 1 species
UUUGUGUUUGUGUUUGUUCUGAGUUUGUUUGGCUCUACUAUUGUGAAUGGAAAAGUGCAUAAUCAUGCUUAGCAUGCAUUUCAAUGUGUAAGUAUGUACACUAGAUGUCAAAUGAUUAUGAAUUGUCUAAGUGAUCAAUGUCGCACUGUAUGAUAUAGUAAUAAGUACAUUGACUUGAGUGAUAUGCAUGUCUAUUGUAUGCGAAGUAUAAAGGGAGUUACAUUGUCAGAUUAGUUGUAGUAGGAAUUAACGAUGUGGAAGAAUGGACGGAUAGAUUGAGAAAUGAAAUUUGCGUUAUUUUUUUGUAAUUCGAUUUGGCAUGUGUUGCAAUUGAGUUAGGCAAAGGCCCGACCUUACGGGUGAACACUUCGGUGUUCGAAUUAACAAGGAGGAUUUAAGGUGGAAUGGAUGGGCAACAACGAGAAUGAUGUGUAAGACUAUGUCUGGGCCAUGGCACCAAUCAGAGGGG